CAGUAGCCGCGGGAAUACGAAGGUGGCUAGCGUUGUUCGGAUUUACUGGGCGUAAAGCGCACGUAGGCGGAUCGAUCAGUCAGGGGUGAAAUCCCCGGGCUCAACCUGGGAAUGGCAGUGGAUACUGGCUCGCUAGAGUGUGUCAGAGGAUGGUGGAAUUCCCGGUGUAGCGGUGAAAUGCGUAGAGAUCGGGAGGAACAUCAGUGGCGAAGGCGGCCAUCUGGGACAACACUGACGCUGAGGCACGAAAGCGUGGGGAGCAAACAGGAUUAGAUACCCCAGUAGUCCCUGUCUCUUAUAC
rnacentral:rRNA from 1 species